rnacentral:tmRNA from 1 species
GGGGAUGAUCGGCCUUGACGGAGGUUGAUUAUAAAAGUCGCAAGCAGAGCCGGAUAACUCUUUAAACUUUCCACUGUUUACGUGCAGAAAAUCACGAACCGGCAUUAGCAUACGCUUAAUGCCUGUCGCCUCCCGAAUGUCUGAAUAGGGAGUGUCGGCAUCAUACUUCAGGCUUACCUAAUACCUCGACCGGGUCUUAGGAAAAAUGCAUCGGUCAAAGCCUUUUAGUUUUUUGCUCGGUUUGAGCUAAAAGGAUUAAACAAUCGAGCUAAGCUUGUAGGCGCUUUUGUAUGACACCCCCGGACGGCGGUUCGAUUCCGCCCAUCUCCACAA